GCCGUCGAUAGCUCAGUUGGCAGAGCGGUGGACUGUAGAUCCAUACGGUCCAAAGCUGGGGUUCAAGACUCCAGAAACCGAGGCG